AAACAGUAUAUGAAGUCUGAAGAAGUGCACAGUGCACAGUUUGUAAAAAAAAAAAAAAAAAAAAAAAAAAAAAAAAGUGAAUAGUGUUUUGUGAAUAGUAAAAUCCGUCCUUUAAAGUAAAAAGCAAGAUGACUCAUCACCCAUGUGACCAAAUGAAGAAGAAGAAAGCAAAUUUACCUCCUGCAUACACGUGGAAGACAUCCAAUGCAUAAAGCCUUCAAGCCUUUGCUAUAAAUAGGGCUCAAAGGCUUCCUACCAAGGCAGAGCUCGGGAAGGGGUUCCAAGAGUGUUGUAAGAGUUAGCUGCAAGAGAGAAAAAUAUUAGAGAGUUGCAAAAAAUAUUUUGAGAGUUCAAAAAUUCUCUUUUAAUUUUCUUAGAGUCAUUCCUCUGCUGUCAACAACUUGUAGUCAUCAGCUCUCUGUAAUCAAGGUAUAUUUUCAAUAAACAAUAUUUUCAGAUUCAAAUAUUUGUGUUAUUAUGCUGCAAUAAAUUAGACAGUAUUAGACAUUAAAUAUUUCUGUUUUUAUGCUUGGAGUUAAUUAGACAGAUUUAAUUACUGCGUGCACGAACUGUUGUAUGUCCUNNNNNN
rnacentral:lncRNA from 1 species